rfam:Capsicum annuum cultivar Zunla-1 chromosome 4, whole genome shotgun sequence
UGAUGAUGAUGAAGGCAAUUUCUAAGCAUACCCUUAAAUCUUUCCCACGCUUGGUAAUUAUUUUCUCCUUCUUUCUGCCUGAAACUCAGAAUCUCGCUUCUCAAGUG